rnacentral:rRNA from 1 species
GAUGAACGCUGGCGGCGUGCCUAACACAUGCAAGUCGAACGGAGUUGUCACCAUGAAGUUUUCGGAUGGAAUGGAGGCAACUUAGUGGCGGACGGGUGAGUAACGCGUGGGUAACCUGCCUCAUACUGGGGGAUAACAGCUGGAAACGGCUGCUAAAACCGCAUAAGAUCGCAUCACCGCAUGGUGAAGCGGUUAAAUAUCGAAAGAUAGGUAUGAGAUGGGCCCGCGUCUGAUUAGCUAGUUGGUGAGAUAAGAGCCCACCAAGGCGACGAUCAGUAGCCGGCUUGAGAGAGUGACCGGCCACAUUGGGACUGAGACACGGCCCAAACUCCUACGGGAGGCAGCAGUGGGGAAUAUUGCACAAUGGGGGAAACCCUGAUGCAGCGACGCCGCGUGAGUGAAGAAGUGCUUCGGCAUGUAAAGCUCUAUCAGCAGGGAAGAAGAUGACGGUACCUGACUAAGAAGCCCCGGCUAACU